ACCUGUGCUACGAAAAUGAACACCAGCGUGAUUAAACCCGAAACUCCAGAACUUCUCGCAGUUUAAAAGCAAAGGGUACUUACCCUGUAGCAAUAGGCGUGUAAGUACACAGACCAUUUUAAACAACGGCAAACAUAAGCGGCUAUACAAACUUUAGGCAUUGGAUAAUAUUAAAUAUUUUACUGGGGAAUUCUUUCUCUCCCUCAACAGUCUGUUUCGAAGAGGUAUAGCUCAUGUUGUGUCUAUCAUUUCAAUUCUUCCUAGCCUUCUUAGAGUUAAAAACCACCCAGCAAUCAGAGGUCUGCUAGGAUCACACAGGUGACAAGAAUAUUAAAAAAAGGCCAACUCAGUCCUCCAUAGUCUCUCAUAAAACCCUGGUUUUCUUGUAGGUAGUUUAGUAGAAUGUGUUGUACCAAUUCACUCAGUGGCAAUGCUACAACAGACCUAUUAGCAGUGAGACUUGAGCGCAUGGACAGCUCAUGAACAUAGACAAUAUCCAAUCAGCUAAUGCAUGCUUGGCACAUGGACGCGUGAUCAGGAAAUAACUGCAUAUAUAAGGAGGCUUGUUUCUAUAAUAAAUGGCUUCACUUGAAAUCAUAUUGGAUUGUGCAGAGUCCAUGAGCUUUCGCCCUUGCAGGAGAGGAUUUCUGUUAACCCUUUUGCAAUAAAAACAUUACUUGGAGAAAGAAGCCACCAUAACUCCAAACCCUCUUCUAUUUUCCUCAACUUUUUCUUCCCUUUAUACACAUUCUCUAUAAAUAUGCACAAAACAGAGGCAAAUACACUCCCAUUCAGAGCUCUAGAUGGGAACUGCUUUCUGCUGUUGCAGUGAUACAAAGUUAUGCCGGCAUCAGAAGAACCCUUGGAUUAGCUUACUCUCCUGAUACAUUCAGAAAACAGUUGAUGUUGUAAAUGCUGCAAAAAGAUAGAGUAAUCUCAAUGACAUCUCAUUGGGGACUGCAGACAGCAGCCAUAUAUCUUUUCUGAUAGGAGGUUUGUUUUUCUAUGACUGAUUUACACCUAUUUCAUUCCUAUUGAUAACUAAUCACCUAGGACAACACUGUUACUUAAUGUUUACAUGUUAUUAAAUCAUGUGGCAUUUUAUGAAAAUCAGUGAAAAUGAAUGCAUUUAGAUACAGUCAAAAUAUGACUGAAUUAUAUGACUAACCAAUGUAUUACCUUUCUAAAUGUUUACAAUCCUGGACAGAAGCCUGCUGGUAAGUUGUGGAUGCUGUCCCAGGAAUCAAAAGGAAAGAAUUCCAGUAGAUUCAAUUGACUUUGGAUCAAACUGUUGCUGUGCAGCUUGCUUUGAUAGAUGUGUGAUCAAAUUUUCUUGGCAAAAUAACUAAGAAAUAGCUGCAGAAAUUGUUUAGGUGAAGAUUUUGUUACGCUGUCAGAUUCAGCAUCACUGAAUUCAGCAAAUCCUGCUAUGUUUGCUUCAGCAAGUAACAACUCAGCCCAUAAGUUUCUGGAAGGUACAUUUUUAUAAUAGCUAUUCCAAGUUUUCAGCACAAUUGUACGUGACACCAUGCACACCUGAGAGUUACUGUUCCAGCCCCAGAGCACCCAGACUCACAAAAUACCCACAAAACCAAACAAAACCACACCAAACGUAAAUGACAGAACUAAACAAUUCAGCAGCACGAAGCAGCAACAGCCAGGAACCCAUCUGAAAGCUGUCCUGAUCAAUCAGUAACGCUUCGUUUGCUGCACUCAGUAUCUGCCUGCUGCUACAACAGCUUGUUCUGCAACGGAUGGGUGCCAUGUGAAACACUGCAGAAAUGACAGAGGUGCAUUCAAAAGAGAAAUAGAUCCCUGUUUGUAAAUCCGCUGUUUGGCAGGAAGCUUCUCACUGGCUGCAGAGUCAAGGAAAAGAGCAAAAGUUGAGAGCAGGUGAGAAACAGCUCCUGGGACUUGUUACCAGAUCUGCCACUGACUUGACAGCCAGUCUUUUAAGCCGCACAUCAGCUUUCAUGCUGUAAAGCAGGGAUUCCUUCCUUAGAGAGCUCCUGUGAAGCCCAGUUUAAUUAGCACCUAUGGAAGUGCCUUUAAGACUUCUGCUGUGAAGUGACACAGAUGCGGAGGAAAAAAAAAUUAAAAAAUAGAACUGCAGCUUUUGCUGUUUCCAAAAAAAGCCUUGUGUCUGCCUUGGGGAUUUGCUCAGCUUCUUAUAAAUCAUGUAAGUAUUAACUCUUACAUCACAGGGCUAGGCAAGUCCAUCAGCUGCUUAUUUUAGGCUCUGCACAGAACCAAAAAAAGGCUGCUAAAGGUAUCCAGUAGUUCUUGGGUGACAGCAAAAUGACCAAAUCAGACAACAACUAAAAGGCAGGAAGGGAAGAAUAAAUGAGUGAAUUUCAGCAUGAAAGGGGACUGCUAAGAAUAAGCUGCACUGGGAUCAGCACUGUUUACUGUAUUCAGUAUCCAGAAGUCAGGGGACAGUUGGAAAUGUUACGUAUGAAAUUACAGCUGGGUAGUGAAGACUAGGGGCGAGCUUGAGAGACGUGGUUGGACAGUUAUGCAGUGUCAGAGCAGAGGAAAUCUGCAAAUGCCAGCCAGGUUUUUUACUUAAGUUUAAUUCUAAGUAAUCUACAGCCUCUUCUUUUUUUUUUUUUUUUUUUUUUCUUUUUUUUUAGUGGAAAUACUUGCUGCUUGCUAACACCAGUCAGAUACACUUUUUUAAAAAGCAUUAACCAAACAGAAAUUUGUAUUGGUAAAGUACUCCCAUAUCACUGCAUGAAGUUUAUACUCUUUCCUUAUCUGUUUCAGAAAUGACAGAGCAGGAGACCUGAGACUGCUAGUGAAAAGGUCUACAGCACUUCUUGGUAAACUGAGUAAUUAGAAAUAAAUAAUACAUCUUCUGUGGAACCCCGAAGGACACCUCCACAGAAGAUGCACAUAUGUGUGUGUGUUAGCCACAUACAUGCGUAUGUCUGUGUGUAUUCUGGGGAGAAUGUAGGUGUACAAAAUGUAUAUAUCUUCACGUUUAAGGGAGUGAAUUAGUCAACAAUCCUGAAGAUUGAUUAAAUUUAGUGGCUAUUUCUCACAUACAUUGUUGUGAACGAGUUCCACCAAGAAAACAUUUUUUUCUAAGCACUUUUAUUCUCCCAGCUGAGUAAUUAUAUGGCACAGACUCCUUCAAUAGUGAGUGUAUUGGUAAGGGGUACAUCAGCUGAAUUUAACAGAACUGAACAAUUUGGCAACUCUGUAACAGAAAAAGAACAGAAAACCAAAACCUACGAUCUAAGAUUAAAUUAAAUGUUUACGUAUGCAUGUGGACGGGUGUAUGUUUUUUGCACAUGUUGCUUAUAUAUUUACGUAACACGUACAUACAAACCUAUACACAGAUCUUUCCACUCUAUUCAGCGCUACAAGUGCCUUAAGCAGAUGGGUUUGGAUACUGUCAUCUAUGAGAGACAGAAGUCAACUAGAGAAAGCGUAGAGAAAAGCAGUAAGCUCAGAAGUUUCAAAGAUGCAGGUAGUGAAGUUCAAAGGAAGGAAGACUGAUUAGAGAUGCAGUAAUGGAAUUUAAGCGAGCUAAAUGCUACCAGAAAGAAAAAUGUAGGUAACUGUUCUCCAUGUCCUCUGGAGACAGGACAAGAAAUAAGAGUUAAACUGCAUUAAAAAAAUAAAAUAUUUAGGCAAAUAUUUAUGCAAACAUAUUUUUGAAAGUAAACAAGACGCUUACAGAGGUUUUCUGGAACAGGCAGCAGAAGUACAUGUUGGGAACAGUUUUGGACACAGCUGAUUUUGUUCAUUGGACAUGAGCACAAGGGGCACUUGAGGUUUCUCCAAGACCCCACAUUUCAAGAUUAUAUGUUGUAUUGACUAAUUCUUCACAGGACGAGAUGAAGCACCAAGUGACUGACACCCUGAUACACAGGCACUCCAACCAGCCUGCAGUAUCAAUGGGCAACUAUUAUCCUUGGUGCUGUCAACUUGAGUCGUCUCCCCAAAAGUUCUGAUCAAGUGAUCUCAGAAAUUUGUCUCCAGCUUGCUUGCUGUGAUUACUAGUAAAGCCUCAAAUCUCAGCCUUCCGAAUUCUUGCCAAGAAGGCUAACAAGCACAAGCAAUGUGUGUGUAUAGUCUCCCUCAUUUCCCUUUUGCUCAGAACUGGUCACCUGCUUUACCUCAUUCUUUCAGUAUUUCAUUCAGCUAAUCUAAAUUAAGUCAGGUGCAUAAAACUGGGAAAUCUACUGUUUCAUAAACCAGUUUCAUCUCAGAGCGAUUUUUAAAUAGUUACUAUACUUGUUGGCGUCUAGCAACCAAAAUGAGUCUAAGGGGAACAGCAAAAGAAAGACAGAUGAGAAAUGGGAAUUUUAUAUGGUCAGAAAUGUUUUACAUAAACAAUAAAAACCUUUUACAUAGAAAAAAACAGAAAAUGAAUACAUAAAAGAAAUCCCUGGGUAGUUAAUUCCUGAAAACAGGAACAACGUUUCUAGCUCAUAAAUCAUACUGCAACCACCAUUCUGUAGGGGAGAGAGAUUACAGAGCAAGGAUUUGUCACACACCUGUCAGAGCCCCAGAUUUAUUUUCAGUGGUGGUACAGUAAUUUGGUAAAUUAAGUCUGCAAGUCCUGUACUUUAUUUACUACUUAGAAAGAAUGCAAUGGAUGGUUUUCAGUAUCUUAUUACCAUUCAGCACUCUAUUAACUUCUGCCAUUGUUGCUAUGUUUUCCCUUGUCCUGUCAGUUACUAAUGGCACAUUCUUAUUCUAAUGUUAAGUUAGCAUGAAGUAAAAAAAUCACAACACACACACACACACAAUCUCUCUGAAAAUAUGCAGAGGACACUGAAUUAAGUUAUUUUACUUUGAGAAAAGGCUCUGCAAAAGGUAGGUAGUUUUACCCACAAACACUACUGGGACACUGUGCUCAAAAUCUGGGCACUUCCAGUCUGCCAGUGAAAGUGUACCUUCCCAAAUGUGUCUUUCUAUGUAUUGGCAGUCACACUUGGCAUUUCUGUGAAAAGACUGCUGAUGUGAAUUCUCCUCAGGUAAAAUUAAGUUGAGAUUUUUUUGUGACAGGAUUUUAAGAAUCUGUAUUUGAAGACAAAUUUCCCUUCUCAUCAAAGUGUCAACCAAGCUCGUCAGCAAGAUGUUCUAAUGUUAUCAGACUUCUGGAAGGGUAAACUACCAGUGUAGGUGCCAGUUGCUUACAUGGGGGGGUGCAAUGUUACAUGUCCAAUGGGUGGAUAUGUGCCAACCUCACCAAUUUUGCGUAUAUCAAUUAGCAGAGUAUUAAUUCAUUUAUCCAUCAGCAUAGCGGAAUAGUAAUGACAGUGUGAGAUAAUUCUCCCCACCUGCAGGAAUAUAAUCCUGUAACCAGAGAUCUUUCCAUAGAAAAUACCAAGACAAGUAUAUCUCAAAUAGCAAGAAGACCAAUUUUUAAGUAUUAAUAUGACAUCAACUGUCGAGGUCAACCUAUUAGUAGCACUGGAUUUAAUGAAAACUUCCUAACUUGGUUUAGAUAACUGUAAGUGCAGCCCCAGUGCUUCAGCCAUCUCCAUUCUUUCUCUUUUUGUCCGUACAGAACACACGUCAAAGUCAUUUAAUGGGGUUGAGUACCUGAAGGAGAAGGCUGUCCUUUUACUACACCGUUUUUCAUCUUUUCUUCAGAAUUCAUUACUUCUUUGUAAAUGAGUUCUGGAAGAGAAAAUUGCGACAGUUACAAAUGAGAACCAGCACCUGCGAUCAGGAAGAAAGCAACUACCACAAAACGCAGCACUGUAGCCUUCCUUAGGCUGCCUUGCUCUGCCCUACCUUGUCUUCACAAGUUCGACAGCCCUGCUCACCUAAGACCUCUCUCUUCCAUUCCCUUCCUCUCCUAUCAUCUCUUUUUGGAGCUGAAGUGAGACAGAAACUAGGAAACAUGUGAAUUGUUUAAUGCUGCACUACCUAGAAAUGAAGUAGCACAGUAAUACAGUGCUUUUUACUAUGGGUAAAAUUCUGAUGCAUUGUCCUGUUCUCCAGAUGAUAUCCCUAGGUUUCUAUGAAGCAUUGGAAUCUGCAUCCCCCCGUGUUAACAUUAACCUAUGUAAACAAUGAUAGUACUGAGGAUAUUUCUUAUAUUUUAGCUACCAAAGUGCUAGUUUCUUCCUGUCAAAGGAAUUCCUUUGGGUUUACACAGAUGCACCUGGUGGUGGGACAUGGCUGUUUCACCACUGAAAUACCCCUUCCCAUUUAAUUCUAAACUGCUAUUACCUUUCCAUUCCUCGAUUGUAUGUUCCCUUUCAUCCAGCUGUUUAUCAUAUAUCUGAGGCGGUGGCUGCAGAAGAGAAACAAAGUUAUUUAUUCAACUGUCCAUUACAUUGUAAAUAAUUAGGAGUAACUAUUUAAGUAUAGAUAAAUGCCCUUCUCCCUCUUUGUUAUCUAUCCUGUACAUCAGGGGUGUCAAACUCAUUUUCACCGGGGGCCACAUCAGCCUCAUGAUUACCUUCAAUGGGCCGAAUGUAAUUUUAGAACUGUAUAAAUGUAGGAGUAGUUAAAUUUACACAGUCCUAAUAUUACAUUUGGCCCUUUGAAGGCAACCACGAGGCUGAUGUGGCUCCUGCUGAAAAUGAGUUUGACACCCCUGCUGUACAUGCAAAAGCACAUGAAACACAUUUGAGUAUUAAAUGAAUUAACACUUUGGGAAUUCAAGUCUUUAUGUAGGAGUAAUCAAUGUAUUUCUCCCUUUCUUCUUUUAAACAAGAGCCAUAAUUGCAGGUGAAACAGAACCCUUGUCAGCAGUGCCACUGUUCUUAUCGUGAGCCCAGAAAUUCCACAAACAGACUGUUUGCACUGGUAGAGAAAGUACUGUCAGAAUGCCAGACAAAUACCAAUCCUGAUUAAUUAGAAGUCAUAUUACAAUAUGAAGUUUCAAGUUGUCCUUCAGACAUGAUACUCACUGCUAUACAAACUUCUAAGAGUAACUAAUUUAAUGCAUAUCUCCCAGCCAGAAUUUCUGAUCUAUGUUCCAAAUUACCAAGCUUGCCAGUUUACAUAUUUUUAAGUAACUUUGCUCUAACCAGAAAGGUGUUGGGUGUUUUUUACUGUAUGUUUUAGUUGCUGAGAAUGUCACAGAAGUAGAAGAUCCUGAAAUUUAUUGAGACAGAGGCAACUAGAGUUUCUGAGAGCCUGAACACCUGCCUUCCUUGAGGAAAUAAGCCGCAUGUUCAUUUUGUCUCCUGAUGUCAGCUGCCAAAUCCAGCAGCCAAGCAAGGUAGAGGACUCUGCCCCUUCCUUCUAUCAAGAAGCUUCAGCAUCUGAGUGCAAGCAGAAGCACACUGGUGUGCUGUCACCAGUGGCCUGAACUCUCUUCAGCUAGACAUGAAAGUGUCAAUGGCCUCAGAUUUCACCCUGUAUUGCGCAGGGACUCCACAGUAGGCUGUGGAGAUGGAAAAAGAGAUGCUUCUGUGCCCAGCCAUUCCUUGGAACCUUUGCAGACCCUUUAGGAAAACUUCAUUGAAGAAACUGUGGCCUGAGGUGUUUCUGAACAGCUGGACUGCAAGGAUGGCAGGCAGCAGGAGGCAAGAUUACUUGGCCGUGCACAGAUGACUGAGUAGUUUACGAAUAAGUACAACAGCAAGCUGGAAAAAUCUUGAGCUUUGUUUGGAGGAGAAAAAAGAAGAUAAAUGCCUCUUUUGUCUCCAACCACUACUUCUCACUGACAUUAACAUAGAUUGCUGCAAAGGGUGUGUUCGGCUUCCAUAACUUAUCAGCUAUAAAUGGACAGAUGCUGCUGACUAGACAAAAUAUCCAUGCUUGUGUACAAAGCAGAGCUGCAAACUUCUUUUGUGAGACAACAGAUGUGCACCAUCAGCCCCUAAGCAAAAAACCAAACUCUGGAACUGAUUGCUAGAAAACCCCUGUGGCAGAUCACCACAGAGUUUAGACACAACAUCCAAAUAUGCACAGAGCUGAGCAAGAGAAAAGAAUACCAGAAAAGAUGUACAACCUGACAGCCUUGAUUCUGCCACGAAGUGUCACAUGUAGUGAAGGUGACACCUUCAUUCAAGUGUUGUUUUCCAGGCUCACAGAGGUCUCCAGAAAUGCUUCUCCAUCAUCAUGGAUGCUCAACAUUCACAGGCAAAAGAGAUGGCUUUUUUGUUGUUGUUGUUUUCUUAUAACAAACUUCAAAACUUAAAAUUUAUUUGAGUAGAUUUUAUUUAACAGCUGGUCACAGUUUAUACAGAAAGGGCUAAAACAGUACAGAAGCAGUUUCCAUCCUGGAGAGGACAUCAGACUGAGAAAUGCAAACGAGAUCUCCUUCAUAAGCAUUGUAGGAAACAGCAUCACAACAAUAAAAGGCAACACACGGGCUGUCAAGCACAGAAAAAUGAAUUAUAAUUUACAGCCCAGUCCCCAUAGGUAGUCCUAGAUAUAGAGACACCCCAGUGAAAUAUAAAUCCUAUGAAAAUAAAACCAAUAUCGAAAGCAGUGUUAGUUACAGCAAAUAAAACCCCACACGAUCUAUCACUGUUGUAAAAUUCUGUUAGCAUUGAGAAAUGCUUAAAAGGUACUUGGUUAACGUCUGAUCUUUCCCUCUUCUAAGAAAUCUCUCCUCUAAUGAAUGGCAAUGUCAGAGAGCAAGCAAUAACUACAGGUAAGUAAAAUCUAAGAUGAAUUUUGAAACCACUUAAUAGAAAACACCAGAUAAUAAUCUAUGGUAAAUUUUGCUACUACAUUUGUUACCAUGGAAUGGAACAGAACAAUACUGUUCCCAAGUAGGAACCACUUAUAAGAUCACACAGAUAAUUCAAGAGGUUCCAAAAAGAAGUGAUUCCUGAAUCAUUUAUAGCUGAAGAAAAAAAUGGGCAACAUUAAGUCCUAAACAAUUGCCCUUAAGCAGCAGAAAUUCUUCUAAAACAGCAUCUUCCAGAAAUAUGCAUGCAAAUAUUUUUGGCUGAAAAACACUUGGUUAAUAUUUUACAAAAAAAUGUAGUAACUGAAAAAUUAAGGAAAGGAAUUGAAAGCAGCCACAGCCUUGCAUAAGACUGUUACUUUGAUACCAGUAAGUAGGUAUCUCUCCCAUUCAAAAUUAUUUCUCAUGCCAACAACAUGGAAGGAAUUAGACUGGAGACCAGGCAGCUCAAGCCAACGCCGUCCUAGAGAACAACCAGCAUGAGUGUUCUGAAAUUUGGCAGCAGAGCCACCCAGGUGGCAACACUAAAGCUAAUCUGAAGCAUGUGCCUAGGAAUCCAUCCUGUUCACGAAUGAUUUAAACAUUUUACGAUAAAACCAGUAACAUACAUAUAGGCAGUGUCGCACAAACAACUAUGAAAAACUAACUAUCUGAUCUGGGAUUUAUUCACAGCUCAUCUCAAUGAAGGAUUAAGAACAUAUAGCAACAUCAAAAAAGGCAGCUGUGCAAAUGAAAACAAAGUUUCAGGCACAGCAUUUUCAGACAAGAAAAUAGAGAAGUUAAUAUGUCACCAGGGAGAUAUUGAAACGGUCUACAAUAAACAGGGUAGCCUACACGGGGAAGCAAGAGAUGAUGGAAAUGUCUUCUUCACUAAAAAAAGACCAGCGCACUUUGAGGAAGAAAAUGUAUGGUGUGUCUCAUUUAUUCAUAAUAAUAGCCCAAAUACUGUAAGGUAAAGUAAAUAUUGUAACACAAGAGUAAUAAACAUCAGUAUUCG